AUGUGAAAGCCCGGGGCUUAACCCCGGAAGUGCAUUUGAAACUAAAGGACUUGAGUAUGGGAGAGGGAAGUGGAAUUCCUGGUGUAGAGGUGAAAUUCGUAGAUAUCAGGAGGAACACCGGUGGCGAAGGCGACUUCCUGGACCAAUACUGACGCUGAGGCGCGAAGGCGUGGGGAGCAAACAGGAUUAGAUACCCUGGUAGUCCACGCAGUAAACGAUGAACACUAGGUGUAGCGGGUAUUGACCCCUGCUGUGCCGCAGUUAACGCAUUAAGUGUUCCGCCUGGGGAGUACGACCGCAAGGUUAAAACUCAAAGGAAUU
rnacentral:rRNA from 1 species